rnacentral:rRNA from 1 species
CCUACGGGUGGCAGCAGUCGAGAAUCAUUCACAAUGGGGGAAACCCUGAUGGUGCGACGCCGCGUGGGGGAAUGAAGGUCUUCGGAUUGUAAACCCCUGUCAUGUGGGAGCAAAUUAAAAAGAUCGUACCACCAGAGGAAGAGACGGCUAACUCUGUGCCAGCAGCCGCGGUAAUACAGAGGUCUCAAGCGUUGUUCGGAAUCACUGGGCGUAAAGCGUGCGUAGGCUGUUUCGUAAGUCGGGUGUGAAAGGCGCGGGCUCAACCCGCGGACGGCACAUGAUACUGCGAGACUAGAGUAAAGGAGGGGGGACCGGAAUUCUCGGUGUAGCAGUGAAAUGCGUAGAUAUCGAGAGGAACACUCGUGGCGAAGGCGGGUUCCUGGACAGUAACUGACGCUGAGGCACGAAGGCCAGGGGAGCGAAAGGGAUUAGAUACCCUAGUAGUC